AGAUCAUCAUGGCGAUAAAGUGUGCGCAGGCGGUUUUGUAAGACAGAGGUGAAAUCCCCGGGCUCAACCUGGGAACUGCCUUUGUGACUGCAAGGCUGGAGUGCGGCAGAGGGGGAUGGAAUUCCGCGUGUAGCAGUGAAAUGCGUAGAUAUGCGGAGGAACACCGAUGGCGAAGGCAAUCCCCUGGGCCUGCACUGACGCUCAUGCACGAAAGCGUGGGGAGCAAACA
rnacentral:rRNA from 1 species